ACUGAGAUCUAUAGUUGUUAUUGA
rnacentral:siRNA from 1 species